GAGAUCCCUACCUCUAGUUGCUACUGCUAUUCUCAGGAGUAGCAGAGCUAAUUAGAGGGACCGCCGCCGCUGAGGCGGAGGAAGGAGGGGGCUACGGCAGGUCAGUAUGCCCCGAAACCCUCGGGCCACACGCGGGCUGCAAUGGUAAGGACAAUGGGUUCCUAUUCCGAAAGGAGGAGGCAAUCCCCAAACCUUACCCCAGUUAUGAUUGAGGGCUGAAACUCGCCCUCAUGAAUAUGGAAUCCCUAGUAACCGCGUGUCAUCAUCGCGCGGUGAAUAC
rnacentral:rRNA from 1 species